AUUGAACGCUGGCGGCAUGCCUUACACAUGCAAGUCGAACGGCAGCACGGGGCAACCUGGUGGCGAGUGGCGAACGGGUGAGUAAUGCAUCGGAACGUACCUUUCAGUGGGAGAUAACGUAGCGCAAGUUACGCUAAUACCUCAUAUUCUGUGAGCAAGAAAGAAGGGGAUCGCAAGACCUUGCGCUGAGUGAGCGGCCGACGUCAGAUGAGCUAGUUGGUGAGGUAAAGGCUCACCAGGGCCACGAUCUGGAGCGGGUCUGAGAGGAUGAUCCGCCACACUGGAACUGAGACACGGUCCAGACUCCUACGGGAGGCAGCAGUGGGGAAUUUUGGACAAGGGGGGCAACCCUGAUCCAGCCAUGCCGCGUGAGUGAAGAAGGCCUUCGGGUUGUAAAGCUCUUUCGGCCGGGAAGAAAUCGCACGGGCUAAUACCCUGUGUGGAUGACGGUACCGGAAUAAGAAGCACCGGCUAACUACGUGCCAGCAGCCGCAGUAAAAC
rnacentral:rRNA from 1 species